rnacentral:siRNA from 1 species
UGUGAUUGAUGUGUUUCAGCU